UCAUCCUUCUUGGUUACCUGGUAUAUCUUAGUGGUAGGUGUAGUAGAAUGGUUACCUGGUAUAUCUUAGUGGUAGGUGUAGUAGAAUGGUUACCUGGUAUAUCUUAGUGGUAGGUGUAGUAGAAUGGUUACCUGGUAUAUCUUAGUGGUAGGUGUAGUAGAAUGGUUACCUGGUAUAUCUUAGUGGUAGGUGUAGUAGAAUGGUUACCUGGUAUAUCUUAGUGGUAGGUGUAGUAGAAUGGUUACCUGGUAUAUCUUAGUGGUAGGUGUAGUAGAAUGGUUACCUGUAUAUCUUAGUGGUAGGUGUAGUAGAAUGGUUACCUGGUAUAUCUUAGUGGUAGGUGUAGUAGAAUGGUUACCUGGUAUAUCUUAGUGGUAGGUGUAGUAGAAUGGUUACCUGGUAUAUCUUAG